GGUCGAAGAUGGCUGUUGUCAUUUAAAUCUUCCCACUGAGCCGCCUGCCUCGCACGCAGAGCCAGUGCCACUGCCUCAGACAUCCCUGAGCUGCUGCUCGGCUGGGGUGUUUCCCAAUCUGUUUUUCACAAGGGAAACAAAUUAAAGCGUGCUGAUGUAGGUGCAAUAACCACCCUCUAAUAGAAAGCCCCGCACUAUUUGAACACCUCAUCUGCUGGAAGGAACACGUUUGUAUAAACCAGGAAGCUACCGUGCAAGUUUCCAUAGCUGUUUCACCACACAAUGUGCCAGGGACUCCACAUUAACAACCACUUCCGAAACAACUGAAGUACUCCCUUAAUGAUCUAAUAUUCUUGCCUAUGUUCCCAUAAGAUGAACUGUCUCAUUUACCCAGAGAUUCAGCUGUUGUGUACAGAAGUUUGUGAUCACUCUUCAGAAGUCACCACUACCAUCACAACAAGCCACCAAUAAGCAUGCUCUGUAGGAGAGCUUUAGCCCCAGAAACUCAGUUUCUUGUUUCUAUUGCCUCUUUCUACUAAUGCUAAAGUGUCUGUUACCUCUGUUGCAUCUUGUCUAUACUAAAUCAAACAUUUGUAAGCUGAGCUUACGAACAUCGCUUUCUCUGUGCUCACCAGAUGGGAAGCCAGUCCUCCUCGAGAUCCCAGCAGAGUAAGGAUACUGGAAACGAAAUUCACAGGUAGACGUAAGUCAGCGUUGUUCUCACAUGCCUGUUAUCUUGUAUUUAAGACUAUACUUUCCCCAUAACAAAGCCAUACUACCUCUACAUCUCAAGCAGGACUAUGAGCACAAAUAUUCCAAAUACAAUUCCAACUGCAAGCUAUUCCAAUUAUAUUUUCUUUCUGUUCAAAUCAAUUAUUUCUACACAUAAGGGAUGUUCUCUUUGUCCAACUGUAUAAAGCCUAGGGCAUGAUAUAGUCAAUGGACAUCAAGCAGAGACUUCUAUCUCUGACUCUCACCUCAUUGUAGGAUGCAUUUUGAUUUCUGUCAAAUGUCCUUCGUGGAUAGUUUGAUUCUUGCUGGGCAGGUGGCAUGGAUGAGUGGGAUAAAGAAGAAAUUCUCUGAAAGACAGAGUAUUUGACAUUAGCAGUAAUACAUAAUGGCUUCCAAUCGUGGCUUGAUGGUCAGCAUCCACAUCUGUUACCCUUCCUUUAGGGAGAGUUCUAGAAAGCAAUAGGCAAUCUGAUAUGUCACCAACAGACUGCCUGAGUGCCAAGGCUUUUUCCUUUGUAUAGUCCAGGAUUACAUCUCACAGUGACACAGAGAUGCACCUCGGUGCUCUGCAAACAGCACUGUACUAACCUGAGUGGGUGAAGAAAAUAAAAGUGAUCCUGUCUUAUUUUGAAGCACUAAAAAUGCACUGAGCAAAUGCAGAGCAGAGCAGCAACUGCAGACAAAUAGCACUGGCAAGCUGUUCUCCACAGGACAGAUACUCAUUUGAUGGCUCAGCUAGCAGCCACUUUGAGUGGACAAAGUGAUUUCAAAUUAAAAAAUGUUAGGUGUCAAAUGAUGCUAUGUGGAAUUUAAAAUGGAGUUAAGUCAGGUUUAAACCCAGUUUAACUCAGCUGAAAAAAUGGGUGGAAAGGGCACAAAACAUAAAGCCUGAAGGAAGCCUGGAGUCAGAGGAGGAGGGCAGCAUCCUUCUUACUCUAGGCAAUAUCCAAGUGUGACCACACUCUUUACUGACCAUCACUACACACUGAGGCAGGAAUUUUCCUGCAGCUUCAUAACCAUAAAUAACUUCUAGUGAGGGCAAAGACCUUUCUAUCUGUGCUCCCAGGUUAAGUUCUACUCUUUAGCAAGUAGGAAAUUUCCAAGUAUCCUUUAGUCUUCUGGGGCUAGCUAGGAAGCAAGCACUUCAAGUUUUAAAUACAGACAUAGCCAAAAUGGCAGCAUCUUCACAAGUCUAGACGAAUCCCACACAAUUUUACAGUCACUGCACAUCACUGCACAGGGGGAUCUGAGCUACCAGACUGACCUGCUGCUCUUGUCCUCUUGGUGCAAAUGGGUUCUGUGUUCUCUGUAGCAUCUGUAGUUUUUCAAGUAAAAACCUUUUGUCUUUUCCUGCCUGCACACAAAACACACUUGAUCAUUAGCUGGAAUGGACUAAUAAUUAAGGGAGACUCAAUGAGUAACUGAUCUACAAAAGAAGCUGCAGCAGCACAGUUUGAACAUAAAAUUCCUUUGCAAUAACAUUAUUUGUGAGCAGUUUCCCCACAGCUGGCACACAGGAGGGCUUCCACCUUCCUCUGCAUUGCUGCAGAAAAAGAUUACAGCUGCACAACAGCAGAGUGAGACAAUCAGCAAGAAAGCCAAAUUUUAAACAAAAUAAAGCUGAAAGUCAAACUUACAUUAACAAUUUGCUCACGUAAGAGCUUGGCCAUGGUUCUUCUUCCUCUUAUUAUUUGCCAGAAAAGGUAAGCAAUAACUCUAAAUAAACAAAAGUCCAUAAGAUGAACGCUCAUACCAAUGUGCUCCUCCCAAUCACUGCUUAAACAGACAUUUGUCUUGGUUCAUUUCAUCCACCAAAUACACAGGUAUACACACAUACAUAAGUAUAUGCAUACAUACACACAAUUACAUAUGGAACUUGCCAAACACGUGAAAUUGCUUAAGCCAUUAUCUUGGAAAAGACCCAAAGGUUUAUGGAAUCUUAUUCAAGAAGGGAGGCACAAUUAAAGCAAGUCAACAAUAAAAGGUACAUUUCAGACUACAAACGAAUACAGUGUUCUUAUCUAACUUUGUGUCAUUUACUUAGACCUUACAUCACAACACUGAACAGUCCUGCUUCCAAGCCAAUUUUAUUUGCUCUAGCAUGAAUGGCAGCUUGUUUAGUUAGAACAGGUUUGGGCUCUUAGGUGAGCACGACAAAAUAAUCCGGCAGCACAGCUACAACUUCAACCCCUGCCAGCAGGCCAGCAUCUUGAAGAUGCACAUACAUUAGUACCUAUAUAGCUAACUUUAGGCAGGGAGGCAGCACAGGAAUUUACCUGAGAUCGGCUGACUUAGACUGCAGCUGACUUCGGAGCAUUUCCCCGCACUGCGUGCUCACUUCCACACGCCAUUCGUGCACCACCAUGCCCUUCCUCCAGUGCCCACACAUUAACUCAGAUAUUUUUGCAAGGUAUCAGCACCUCCACAAGUGACUCCACUGAAGAAAAAUGGUGAAAGACAAAGCAGCCACCCACAAAACCUCUACUUUUUUUUUUAUGCUGCCCAAGGCUCUAGCAUAGAUCUGACACGUUCUACUUGUGAAUGACAGAUCUUUGCCUUCUGAUUUAUAUCUCUUUAAAUAAGUAAAUAAGUCAAUUCAUCCUGCCAACAGUAUGCAGAUGUUCCCAUUCACUGAUGUUGCUGCAGCUCAGAGUGGCAGUGGUAAUGAGACCUGGAAGCCAACUCACCAGUGAACUAAAAAUAUUAAAUUAAACGGCAGUAUAUCCUUCAGUUAGCAUGAAACAAAGAGAGCUUUGGCAUCGUAACAUAAAAGGAAUAGGUUUUAUAACUUCUUUACAUACUUCAAAUACAUGAGUUUCCCUUAUAUUAAUCGUUUCUAGUAUUCUAAAAUGCACCCUGCAAUUGUUACAGAGAAUGGCUAUGGCCUAGCCAGGUUUUUCCACUCCGUGUCCUUUUCAUCAGCAGGUACUCACAUGAUAACGACGGAGAGGAUGAAGAAGAAAAGUUCACUUGCUAUUAAGUUGUAGUAGACCCAUGCUACCCAUUUUGAAUCAAUGUAAUUUUCCAGUAUUUUUACCCACUCAGAGAUUGCUGUGUAUAUAGAAGGCAGACCUCGGAAAGGACCACAUUCUUUUGAAGGUUUCAACCUGAAAGCAUGAGAAAGCAGCUAUUUAACAUUUCCUACACUAACAAGCGAUUUAAUUCAGUGCAUUGUUGUUCUCUGCCUCGCUAUUGCCCUCCACUUCUUUGGGACCCUCACAGAAUGCCAUCAUCUAUAAUUGCUGACUUUUUGGGGUCAGCUCCAAGACAUUAAAAUUCCACCUCAGUACCUCUGAGCCUAUUGCAGCCGGAGAUAAGAGAUGCUGCAACAGAUCCCUGCUAAGCCAUGUGCACUGCAUGCAACAAAUCAAUCACUGCAGCACAGACUACAGCAGUUCGAAAAUCUGUAUUUUCAAAGUUGCAGCACAGCUGCAUAAUGGAAGUACCAUCACACCUCGCCUUCCAGGACACAAAUCACUGUAAACUUUCAGCAACAACAGGCUGUGGUGAAACGAGGUAGUUCUUAGCAAAAAUCCACAUUUUGGGGCAGAUGGAAAUAGAGAAAUGUUGUUUGCUUUGAAAUUGGACCAAUCCAGAUAGAACAAAAUUGCCACCUGGCCUCUGGAAAUAUGUUUUCUGAAGUACAUCACCUCCUGUGUUUUUAUUUAGUAAGACAGGUGGCUACACAUGAAAUCACAUGGCUGAGAAUUGCUAAGAAAAAGAGCUGCAUCUGAGUUUCCAUCAUUACUGUGACCAGAGUAACACGCACAUAAACAAAGCAGCUUUAAAACGCUGCUAGUAACCCAGAUGCCUCGUAGCAGAGCUCUGCACACUCUUUAAAAAACAAAACAAAAAAAAAACUCAAAUCAAACAAAAAAAUCUGAAAUCUGCAAAUAAUCCAGAAGCUCAGAAGUUGACCUGCUCUGUUUUCUUCCAGGUGUUUCUGCACUGCACACCCAGUAUGGCCCAUAGCAUUUAAGCCCAGGAGCAGGCAAGGUCACAGAAACUUUUGAGGGGCAGGAAAGGCCAAAUCAAAGAAUCUUCUGUGACAUUAACACAGAAUACCAAAACUUGAAAGCAGUCUUGUCUCACCUCCCACUUUAAUUAUGGGACAAGUUACUGCAUUAACCACACUUGCAAACUUACUGAACCUGUUUGCAGAACACAGAACGCUACGAACAUCUGCAACCUGCCACUAGCAGUUAUUACAGAUUUCCUCUGCCUGCCAUCAGGUCACACAACACAAUGUCAUGGAACUGAACGUCAGCACUCUUCCAUACCUCCAGACAGUGACUGCAAUGACAGACAGGACUCCAAUGAGGGAAGGGAAAAACAGAAUGAACAUGAAGAACGUUGUCAUUUGAGCAGCUCUCCAGGCUUUGCGAGGAGGUUGGCAAUUCCUCAUCAGACUGACCUUGUAAGAGAUGAAGGUACAUACACUUGGAAUAGCAUCACUUGCCACUUUCACUGCAUUUGAGUCGAUCCUGCUGAAACCACUGGAGGCAAUUGCUGGAAGAGCAUCUCUCAAGGGUUUCCAUCAACUUCUUUUAUAAGAACUUGACAGAUAAGCUGUAGUUUUCUAAAACUUCAAGAAUACAGCCUUCCAAUCACUAAGAGAUGAUACGAGGUUCUGAUGGGUUUUACAGAAACUCUGACAGGCAGAGUUUGCUUUUGAAGCACACAUAAAACUUCCCACAGCUCAGUGAAGUUUGAAUCUGUGCUUCUAGUUAUAACUAUGUUCUUCUACAUUUAACACUACAGACUGUUCAGACACCUCCUAAGAAUCUCUUACCUAGUCACACUAGUGAGACAAAGAACUCUGAAAGCUUCCUCCUUGAUAUUAAGCAGAAUCACCUCACUUAGACCCAGGAACCCUUGGGGGGAGGAGGCUGGUGAGAGUAGGAAUCCAGAAUCAUAACAGCAGGCUGAGUGUCUGUACUGACAGAUGCACUGUUUGCUGUUAGUUUCCUAGGCUUUAAUUGUGCUCCUUUCUUUCUUUAAGAAAACAAACAGCAAAAACCCACUACAACAAAACAGCAAAAAAAAAACAACCAAACAGCUCCCCAAGCACCAAACUCCUCAGCCUCCAGGCAACCCCAGCACUCAACUUCAUCAAUCCUGUGUAGAUUUCAAACAGUAAUUUCCAUGGCAUUUUAUGAAGCAAAUAUGUAAAGCUUCUUACCUUUUUCACAUAAAAUACUAUAGAAAAUGAUAUCAUCUGGAUACCAGGCAGCAGAGGUGAGAAGAGAAUACCGAUCCUAACAGGAAGAAUUUAUAAGAGAAAAGAAGUCGUAUUUCCACAAUUCAUUAACACUAGUGUUUCAUUUGGCAGUUGGCAACCCUGCCUGCAGCCUGGAACUUGAUGAUCCUCGAGGUCCCUUCCAACCAAAGCCAUUCUAUGAUUUCUUUUGCGUUUUCUCUCAGACCAGGUGGCCAGAAGGAAAACUACAAUAAUACUGGAGGUAGUAACCUCACUCAAAGAGAACUGGCAAGUCAAGGUACUUAACAUAGCAUCUCCCCCAGGCAUUUAUCCUGUUCUUUCUUUCAUGAUGUAAAGUACCCAUAAACAUCUGAAUCAGGAUGUUCAUGGCAUUCCCAAAUACCAAUUAAGGUUUUGGCCACUUACCAGGUCAAUGUCUGAGCAUAGAUCAAAUCUAAAACACUUCGUCCAAUAUCAAACUCUGGCACCCCCAGGCUCACACAGACUGUAGUUCCAAUAAUUCUGGGUGAAAAAUUAAAAAUAAAAGAAUAAAAAAAAAUAGCAUUUGCUAAAUAGUUAAACUCAUUUUAGAAACCUCAACAAAUCACCUCCUGAACGCAACCAUCAGUGACAGAUUAUUCAGGGUUCCAUUAACCACACAUCAGUCAAAGCAGCCACAGCUGAUUAGACUGCACAUCAAAAUUGAAGCAGAACUUCAAAUGCAAAUUCCCAUAAAACAUAGUGGUGUAACCAAGACUGACAGAGUUUUUUAUGCAAGUCAAUAAAAGAAGAAGAAGAAAGGAGGUAGUAUGCUUAUGAUUCAACAGAUGAAGUAAUGAUUUACCUCAGUAAAAACCCUUAACUUCUUUUCCAUUCACAAAUCCUGAAAGCUCUCAGCCUCAAUCAAAAAAAAAACCUUAUAAACUAAUACUUAAUAUAUUCUACAGCAUAUUCUACUUUAAUGUAACCAGUCUUGCAGGCAGCUGAGAUACACACAGAUAAGUAAGUACCCAGAGGACUUCUCUCAGGGUCCAGCAAAUCUCAUUUUAUCAUUUCAUUUUCUCCUGAGCUACAAAGAUUCAGUUUCAGGUUUCGUUGCUGUUUGUUUUUGUAACAAGAAUUGGAAAGAUUUUGGUAACUAUCCCAUUUUGCCUUGAAUAGAGGUCUUGGUACCAUCUGGUAGCUACAUUAUCAACAAUAAAUGUUUCAGGGCUGUGCUGGCUGGGAAUUACUCUGAAGACAUACAAGGAAUUACAAGCAAUCGUGCUUCUAAUCUUUUACAGCUGUAACCCUGCUGUUUUUGCACGGCUUACUGGAUGACAUUCAUAAUGGCUGACACUGCAUAUUAGUUGUGACCUUUUGCUGAAGGUAAUUUCCUAUCUCAACAGAGCAAGAACAGGAGAGGAUUAAAGUACACCGACAAGAGCUGAGGAGGGAAAAUUUACAAGGGCUUCUCAACACUGUUUUGUGUCAAUUUAACACAAAAGUCUAAGUCCUCAUUUGUAAACCCAUCUUGUCCUCAGCUCAGUUGAAGGGCAAACAACUGUAAAGAUCUCCCCAGGUGUGUGGCUAAGAUGCCAAAAGCUUUGUAGCGCAGGUAAAAUUCAGUACUGUUAUCUUUACAGUUAUCACAAGGGAAAAGCAAACAAAAACAAUGAAACAAAAACAACAACAAAACACGUAUUAGGCUAAUGAAGAAAAACAGGAUUGGAAAAAAAAACAACUCACCUUCGCAAAAAUUCUCCAAAGAAUGAGCCAAGCAAACAAAAUAUGAAGUCAACCAACACAAGACGAUAGAUAUCUUGGCCAAUCAGUGUUUCCCAGCACUUUAAGGAGUAAGAAAGAAAAAAACCAAAGAUACACACGUCUAGAAGUGAAAAACAAUGUAAAUCUAACAUUCCUGAAUGCUUGGGCAUCCAAAAAUUUGUGCCAUGAACCAAAGCCUUGCUGGCAUCCUAACCAAUGGCUGAUCUCUCACUGAACGAUGCUGCAAACCAGAUGAGAUCUUAACUGAAUGUAGGAAAAUGAGUUACCCAUUUCUCUAGAAAUUCAAAUAAAGAAAUAUCAGGGUAGCAAAUUCAGCUGUCCAAGGGACUACAGGUACUUCUCUUUGCUUGAACAGGCCUGCCAUCAAAGUGGCUCUCCAUGAGGUACUGUAAGUCAAAGAUAGAUAUUUUUGAAACUUUACCUGUGACUCCGACACAGCCACAACGUUAAGCCAGUAGUAGCACAGUAUUCCAAUAAUGGAUAUUUUCAGGAUUAUAGUUCUACAAAGAAAACGUAGCAUUAACUGCACUGGCAACAGGUAUGCAACCUCCCUAGAAAGAAUAACAGCAGGAUGGCUGCUGGUCACAUGUUACUUCUGUUAUAACAACAGCAUGCCAUAGUGCCAGGACUAACAGAAGCAAUCUUUGGAGCUCAGGUGCUGCAUUACUUUACUGUCCGGGCAGAAUCAAGGACAGGUGGGGCAAAUUUGGCACAGGCCUCUGCUCAAUAGGCCAUUGGCUGUGGGCACACACUCCACAGAGAAGGAAGGUCUGAGGAGCACAGGUAGUGAUACAGUGUUAAUUCCACGGAUAUGCAGUGAAGUCAGACCUCCUCACUUCUCUUACCACUUCUUUUCCUUCCUCCAGGAGACCCACAGCUCACUCACCAUCAAUAGGAGCUAUAAAGCCAAGCCCAGGGUCACCAUAUUGCUAACUGGGAAGGAAACGAGGGAGCAAAGUUCUGUACCAACAAACUGCAACAACUGUGAAGGAACCAGGAAUGAAACAUGUGACAUUCUGUGCUGAGUUACAACAUCACAGCGGAACUCCUGCAACAGUGCCUCUGCUUUGCAAAACUGAACAGUGUUCUUACUACAGAACACACAACUUUAAAACCAACCCUAGAAAGAAAAGGCAGGCAUCUUUUUUAAAAAACAUUUCUUCUCAACUAAGUAUUAGGGAGAGCAGAAUCUUGUUUAUUGGACAGAGGAAUCCUUUAACAUCAGUUAAACUGACAGAAUUCUUAAAACGGUCAAAGAUAGAAAGAAAAGGAGCAAUUCUAGGCUUAGAGCAAAGUCCUUCUUUCCAAAUAGCCUGAGAUUUUAUGCCACAAGAAGAAAUAUCUCCGUCAACUGAAAAGCUCCUUCUAAGCCACACUUUGCUCAACAGGCUGCCACACCAAGAUCUGCACGCUCCCUAGAAGAACAAAGCUUCAGAAAUAAGCAAAAAUCACAGGAUCACACACUGAAAUCCAGACUGUAUUAUUAGAGGAAAACUAGCAUGGGAAAUACAUUGUCCUAAAGACUAUCGUAGUUGUCUCCAGAAAGCCUGACUUCCACUCUUCCACUGCUUCCUACAAGGAAAAAGUCUUGCUAUGUUGCUUAACAUAGCAACCAUCUGCUUUAAGACAAAUUCAUCAGAACACAUACAUUCCACUCUGAGUCAACUUUUGACACAGCCUCCUUUCCUCAAGUAUGUAUGAACUAUUUCUUCUAAUCGUGUAAAAAUUUACCUCCAUCUCUCAAGAAAUAAUUAGUUUUUACACUGCCACAAGUCUUUAAAGCAGAACUGUUGCAGAGAAAAAUAACACACAUCCACUGUGACAUACUUACAGCUCCAGUGAGCAGCUCCAGACCCGUGAAUGAAAGGUUAUUUGGUUCUGCUGUAACAAACUGAGGGAUUGUGAUGAAACCAAAGUUUAUGAGGAAUGAGAAGAUGUUGAAAUUCAGCAGCCAUUUCAAAAAAAUAAAAUAAGAAAGAACACUUGUUCCAAACUCUCCACCAAUGCUCUUCAGAGUCUUGUGCCAGAAAUUCAGUCGCUGAAAAUAUUCUGACAAGGUAUUUCUAAAUUGCCGAAAUGACUACAGAACAAAAGAUGAGAGGUGAACCUCAGUGAGCAGCCUUACACAGGACUCAAAUCCACAUAAUACACCCUCACAUUUUUACAGCCCCAUUUUGAUGAUAAGAAGAGAUUUCCACCUUUCAGUGCAUCACAGAAUGCUUACGCACUCUUCCUACCUAAUGCAAGUCAUUAUCAAUGAACAGUGAAGAAACGAAAUAAGACCACAAGAUGCCCAGCACCUGUGGAGAUGGUGAUAACACUGCAGCUACAGCUCCCUCCAGCUGUUACCCACUGACAUGCCUGACACUCACCGCUUUUGCUCUGUGCAGACAGUGCUUACAGCAGCCACACUGAGUACCACAGCCCCCUGAUUUCUUUGAGAUUUCUGUGAGAACUUUAUUCCUGUGGGAAAGCAGGACAAAGGAGUGACAGCAUGAGCUGUAAUUAGAACAAAAGCCAAAGAAGCUGCUGCAAACAUGUGCUCAUGACCAAGCCAAUAACUUGAGAUGGUUCUGCUGGUUCUUCUUGUGUUAGCUGCUAAAAUGGUCUUUGUCCAUUACAAGCUGAGGUGUGGCACCACAUUCCAACUGCUCUACUAAGUCACUGCUAGGAACAACAUCUAAAUAUAUUCACGUGUAUAAAAUAAAUGUACGCAAUGAUCAAAAUGAUGGCUGAAAUCACGUGGUCUCUUCUCUGUUUUUAACAGCCAGCAUUCAACUUUCCUUUGAAUAAGAGUCACAAGACAUACUUGCAUGCAGAAGGGCACGGCCUUGCUAUUGUGCUUUAUAUUACAUGAGAGUCUUCUCACUCAGGGAAAGGACACUGAACCAUCUUCAAAUUAUUUUUCCUUGCAAGAUGUUAACUUUUUAAAAGCUAUUUAAAAAGUACUGUCAGUUUUUUCGUACUCAAAGGGACAAAGCAAAGCUGAGCAGCUAGCGCACACGCAUACUUGAUAGCUACAUGUCAAGAAUUGUACUGCUUGUAAAACUAAACAGAACUUUUAUUGUUACCUGAUCUCUCUCUUUCUUUUCAUGGUUUCUGGCAUUUUCUGGAUUGCUUUAAUCCUUUCACGCUUGGACAUGCUUGCAAGACUGUCAACUAAUUUUUCCUCUGCAUAAAAAUAAUGAUAAAUCCAAAUUUGGGGGUGAUAAUAUAGUAAUUGUUAUUAAAAAAUUGAAACUUUAUAUAAUCAUUCCCAUUUUCACAGCUACUAAUGCAUGUCAUGUUCUAAGACAAUGAUUCUGUCUAGAAUAUCCUUACUUUUACCAGUGCUCUAAUACAGACGCAUGGAAGUAGCACAAUACUGCACAUUAAAAAGUAAGUAUCAGUUGUCUACUGUUUGCUGAAUGCUAAUACAAAGAGCUGUACUGUAAGGAAGACAAAACACUGACAAACUCCGAAGAGCUGGUCUAUUCCUUGAUCACUGACAAUCACACUUCUAAAAUACUAUUAUCAACUUGAACUCUAAGCUUUUAUUCUGUGAUUUUAGUUCAUGCUGGUCUAUGUAAAAUAGGCAGAGAUAUUACUUGUCAUUCAUCUUAUUUCCACAUAGUUGGAAUUCGAUGCUAACUCGAGACAUCUAAUAAAAUAAUAAAUCAUCA